rnacentral:rRNA from 1 species
AUGGCCUCGAAACCGCCGCACGUCCACUCGCAGCCGGCGCCCAACCUGCAGUACGACGGGUCCUCCAGCGCCGCGGGUCCCUACGCUGGCCUCGACGGGCCGCCAUCCCAGGGGGGUUGUUUCCACCGACCCGGCACUGCCCCGUCGCUGCUUCGCACCGACGAGCCAUACUCCCACGACGGUCAUACUCAUACACCGCCGCGUUUCGCCAAGCUAGACUUCGCCACCUACGACGGCACCGAGGAUCCCCUCAACUGGCUUAAUCAGUGUGAGCAGUUCUUCCGAGGGCAACGCACGCUCGCGUCGGACCGCACCUGGCUCGCCUCAUAUCACCUUCGAGGCGCCGCACAGACGUGGUAUUACGCCCUCGAGCAGGACGAGGGCGGCACGCCCCCAUGA